GACGAACGCUGGCGGCGUGCUUAAUACAUGCAAGUCAACGACUUUUAGAGUAGCAAUAUUCUAAAGGAAGUGGCGCACGGGUGAGUAACACGUAGGUAAUCUGCCUUCAGGACUGACACAACUCGUCGAAAGACGGGCUAAUAUCAGAUAAUGCAGCGGCUCCGCAUGGAGACAGUUGUUAAAGUACAAGCGCCUGAAGAUGAGCCUGCGGUCCAUUAGCUAGUUGGUAGAGUAAAAGCCUACCAAGGCAACGAUGGAUAGCUGGUCUGAGAGGAUGAUCAGCCACACUGGAACUGAGACACGGUCCAGACUCCUACGGGAGGCAGCAGUAAGGAAUAUUGCUCAAUA
rnacentral:rRNA from 1 species